GAUGAACGCUGGCGGCGUGCCUAAUACAUGCAAGUCGAGCGAACAGACGAGGAGCUUGCUCCUCUGAUGUUAGCGGCGGACGGGUGAGUAACACGUGGAUAACCUACCUAUAAGACUGGGAUAACUUCGGGAAACCGGAGCUAAUACCGGAUAACAUGUUGAACCGCAUGGUUCAACAGUGAAAGACGGUCUUGCUGUCACUUAUAGAUGGAUCCGCGCCGCAUUAGCUAGUUGGUAAGGUAACGGCUUACCAAGGCAACGAUGCGUAGCCGACCUGAGAGGGUGAUCGGCCACACUGGAACUGAGACACGGUCCAGACUCCUACGGGAGGCAGCAGUAGGGAAUCUUCCGCAAAGGGCGAAAGCCUGACGGAGCAACGCCGCGUGAGUGAAGAAGGUCUUCAGAUCGUAAAACUCUGUUAUUAGGGAAGAACAAAUGUGUAAGUAACUAUGCACGUCUUGACGGUACCUAAUCAGAAAGCCACGGCUAACUACGUG
rnacentral:rRNA from 1 species